rnacentral:rRNA from 1 species
ACACGUGGGCAACUGCCUGUAAGACUGGAUAACUCCGGGAAACCGGGGCUAAUACCGGAUAAUUCUUUCCCUCACAUGAGGGAAAGCUGAAAGAUGGUUUCGGCUAUCACUUACAGAUGGGCCCGCGGCGCAUUAGCUAGUUGGUGAGGUAACGGCUCACCAAGCAACGAUGCGUAGCCGACCUGAGAGGGUGAUCGGCACACUGGACUGAGACACGGCCCAGACUCCUACGGGAGGCAGCAGUAGGGAAUCUUCCGCAAUGGACGAAAGUCUGACGGAGCAACGCCGCGUGAGUGAUGAAGGUUUUCGGAUCGUAAAACUCUGUGUUAGGGAAGAACAAGUACCGGAGUAACUGCCGGUACCUUGACGGUACCUAACCAGAAAGCCACGGCUAACUACGUGCCAGCAGCCGCGGUAAUACGUAGGUGGCAAGCGUUGUCCGGAAUUAUUGGGCGUAAAGCGCGCGCAGCGGUUCCUUAAGUCUGAUGUGAAAGCCCCCGGCUCAACCGGGGAGGGUCAUUGGAAACUGGGGAACUUGAGUGCAGAAGAGAAGAGUGGAAUUCCACGUGUAGCGGUGAAUGCGUAGAGAUGUGGAGGAACACCAGUGGCGAAGGCGACUCUUUGGUCUGUAACUGACGCUGAGGCGCGAAAGCGUGGGGAGCAAACAGGAUUAGAU